rnacentral:rRNA from 1 species
CCUACGAGGUGCAGCAGUGGGGAAUAUUGGACAAUGGGCGAAAGCCUGAUCCAGCCAUGCCGCGUGUGUGAAGAAGGCCUUCGGGUUGUAAAGCACUUUCAGUGGGGAAGAAAGCCUUGGGGCUAAUACCCUCGAGGAAGGACAUCACCCACAGAAGAAGCACCGGCUAACUCCGUGCCAGCAGCCGCGGUAAUACGGAGGGUGCGAGCGUUAAUCGGAAUUACUGGGCGUAAAGCGCGCGUAGGCGGUCUGAUAAGCCGGUUGUGAAGGCCCCGGGCUCAACCUGGGAACGGCAUCCGGAACUGUCAGGCUAGAGUGCAGGAGAGGAAGGUAGAAUUCCCGGUGUAGCGGUGAAAUGCGUAGAGAUCGGGAGGAAUACCAGUGGCGAAGGCGGCCUUCUGGACUGACACUGACGCUGAGGUGCGAAAGCGUGGGUAGCAAACAGGAUUAGAUACCCGUGUAGUC